rnacentral:rRNA from 1 species
GACGAACCGAGCGAACGUUGUUCGGAAUCACUGGGCUUAAAGGGCGCGUAGGCGGGUGCUCAAGUCCGUGGUGAAAUCCUCCGGCUCAACCGGAGAACUGCCUCGGAUACUGGGCGUCUCGAGUGUGGUAGGGGUAUGCGGAACUAUCGGUGGAGCGGUGAAAUGCGUUGAUAUCGAUAGGAACUCCGGUGGCGAAGGCGGCAUACUGGACCGCCACUGACGCUGAUGCGCGAAAGCCAGGGGAGCAAACGGG